UGCAAGUUAAUUUAUUCAUGUCUUAACCAAUGUUUUGGUUGCUUUCUGUUUUUGUUGUUAUUUAUAACUUCAGGUUUAAUUUUGAUGAAUGUGAGCAUGUAAUAGUGCAGUUUUGUCUAACAGUCAGCUUGAAUUAACUACAUGUACUCCCAAUUAAGAAGUGGCUAUGUAAAGGACACUGAUAUAAAGACAUUGCUGGAUGUAUUACCUGGUGGCAACUUCAGACCAACAGAAGUGUUUGGGGUAGCAGUAUUUACCACUAUUGAUCUGGAAACCACUGACCUAAGAAAAUGUUGGAUGCUUUAGAAUGAUCCCAUUACUGUACAGCUUUGUUGAUGAGAUGUAUAAGAAAGGAUACCACUGUCAGUAUGGAGGGAAAUGGACUUGAUGCUUAGAAGGAGGCGGAGAUGUCAGAUUCCUCUUCACCUCCAAGUUACCAUGACAACGAACAGCAACAUGAAAGGGGUGACAGUAUGGAUGAAAGUGAAUGAAAAAAUUUGCAAA